AAGAGGAUAUCCGAAGUAGUUUCGGUCUCGUCGAUUAAAUCCCGUGAUAGGCAACCAAAUGUCGCACGAUUCCGUUUCAUAAAGCUCCCAAAACCAAACUAAAAAGAAUGCGGAUUCACUGAGCAGCAGAUGUCCUCAAGCCCGGUGCCAUGCAGGGACCAUCAUUCUGACUUUACAAUGAACAACCGAGGCGCCGCGUCCGUUUCUGCCUACCUUCCACUCGGGAGCGGAGAUCCGACAAGGUUUUCGGGACAGGAGGCAUUUUUCCCUCUCACAGCGAUCCGAGCAAAGCCGGCGCUUUACUCUUACGGUUCCUCGCCUCCGCCACGCCGGUGCCGCUCAGCUCUUCCCCAGAGUACCUGCCCCCCCGCCCCCGGACACAUGUAGCAAUGUGACGCCGACCCCAGCCCGUCCGCUACAGUGUACACUGCGUCUGAAUGCGUGGAUAAAGACAAACAGCCCAGGAGGAGCUGGAGACAGCGCUGCUGCCUACAGGACCACGGCCCCCCGAAACACACCGAUGGAUCCGACGCUGUAUGAGAAACCGGCCGGUUCUUUAACGGGAACUGAAAGUGACAGCAGUACUUUACGAUCCCGCAUGUACCAUUUCAAGCACUUAGGGGGACACUGAUAAGCUGAAGCGCUUCUCUGUGCUCGGCGAUGGACGGACUCCACUGAAGCGAUUGGUCUCUAUACAGAUAAGCAUAAAACAAACAAGCGAGGGUAUUUUAUUGCUUCAUUUUGAAAAGCGCGACGUUUGUAUGACGUGUACGGAGCACUUCCUUGACUGUGUCACCCUUCUUCCUCUGUGGUGCCUCUGUAGAUUCCCGGGAUGUCAGUGAUAUUGGUUAAGACGAAAUAAAAUAUUGGGUUCGGUAUGA